AGAAUACCCGCAAAAUAACAGAAGUUGGUUGGCAGUGGUGUGAAAGAGAAAAGUGGAAAGAGUGUCAAAUUUCACAUUCGACGCUCACCUCUUCCACCCUGUUGUGUUAAAAACAACAAGUGACAUUGAUGUCAUUGAAUUCCCAGACUGCACAUUGUCGUGUCUCUGUGUAAAUUGGCUGGUUUGUGUGUCAAAGGCACCAGCAGCAACAUUUUUGUCAUUGUCGCUCUCGUCGCACACUUUUGCUGAAACUCUCCUUGAAAUCCGCCUGCUUCAUUGUAUUUAGCCCUUUCAUGCACCAAUAAUGACAACUUGUAACCUGAUAACAUGAUAUACUGUCUGCUGUAGUGACCGCAGUCCCUGAAGAAUGUAUAUAUGUCACUUAAAAAAAUGUGCGUGCAGUUAUACAGGUUUUAAUGACACGUCACACUCUGACAUGAGGGAUUCGCUCAACUUAAGUUCAGGUUGAAUUUAACUGUUCUCCUGGCAUUCGCUAAAUGACUGAAAUUUGCCUGGGCAACUGUCGAAGUCUGAAUAUUCAGUCUUCAGAUGCAGCGGUCAGCACGAGAUUUGAAACUCAGGAGUCGAUUGUUUUUUUUUUUUUUUGUAUACGGCAUCAAUCCAGCGGGCGUGCGGCUCGGCUGCGCUGUUUGCCGAGCGCAGGGAGGUGGACCUGAAAGAGGGAGGUGUAUGCGCCGCUGCGGGAGUGGGCACUUACGAAUACAUUAGUUUGGUCUCUGGAGAUAUAGAAAUCCAGCUUUCUCGACCACUUUCCUUUGUGUUCCAUCAUAUUUCAUCAUCGUGGAUUAUUUUUCCAUUCAAUUUUUUUUUUCCCCAAAUGAUGACAGAAUAGAAGAAGAAGCGCAUGCACUCAGCCUCUUGUUUAUCGGUCAGAUCUUGUUCAUUUUACAACAUUAAAGAACAUGAGCCUUUUUCUAGAUCUUAUGAUUACAUGUAUGUUUUUAAAUGCAGGAUCAGUUUUUUGUUUUUUUUUUGUGAUACCUCACCGUCUUGGAGGCCUUGAUGACAAAAGUGGGGGUAGUGUGUGUGUGUGUGUGUGUGCGCGCAUGUGUGUAAGCAGUGUAUCAUCACUCCGGGUCGUGACUCACAGCACACACUUAUUUUCGCCUCUCUCUCUCUCUCUCUCUCUCUAUCUCUCUCUCUAUCUCUCUUUCUAUCUCUCUUUCCAUAGCACUCUCUAUUUUUUUUUAUAUACGCCUGAGCGGGAGGCCUACACCCACACACACACACACACACACACACACACACACACACACACACACACACACACACACACACACACAGGAGACAUCUUUGUCACACAGGUAAAAUUUUUAUUGUCCACACAGUGUUCAGUUGCCCCGACUUUUUCUUCCCCCAUCAGUACCUUGUAUAAAAACCACUUUGAGGACCGUCUUACAUUUGUGAUUGGUCCAGAGGAGGUUUUGCCAUAAAUAUGAUGUAUUUUGCCAUCAUUUUAAAACCUAAAAUGAGAUAUAGUGACCUAAAAUGAUGUCAGUUUUGUAGUAACGACAAUUUCUGUGUAAAAGAUAUCGCAAGGAAAGGCUCUGUGAGGAUGAAAUCGUGUCCAUAUAAAACCGACAUUAUUUUAAAUAAUGAAAUAUAUUCGUGGAUCAAUUCCAGCUCCGGCCUCCCUGUGUGGAGUUUGCAUGUUCUCCCUGUGUGGGUUUUCUCCGGGUACUCCGCAAAAUUUGCCACAGUUUAACUUUGAAAGACCAAAAAUGGGCAAAAUUAGCCUCAAAAUGACCUCUUCAAAAACGUCUUCAAAUCACAGUGGCAGACUUCAGUGGCUAAACCAAACUGGCUUCAGCGGUUGGAUUUAAAAAAAACAAAA